AAAUAAUGGUAAAUCUAUAAUAAAGGUAUUCUUAUACAUUUUAACAAAAUGCAAUGUUUUGGCAGCCUUCUACAAAGAAUUAGAACAGGGUUAACCUGAUGAAGGUGCAGGAUAAGAAAGUGUUCUCACAGUCCAGCUUCAGUGUAUUUUCAGAUUGAUUAGACUGUUUGCUUGAUGUUUGCCUCUUACAAUUCACUCCAAAAUGCCAACAGCCGUUUGUGAAAUUAAGAUUUAACAAAAGGUGGAAAAAAAAAAAAAAAGUUUACCUCAAGUGUGUUGGAUUAUAAACACUUGUAUUGACUGUCAGUGAGGAAACAAAGAGUCGUCAUGGCUUCAUCACAAUUCAAGAUGCCAUCUGAUUCCAACCGAUGAAUUGUUAUAGCUUUUUCCAUAGAUCCAAGUUGACCUUUUUGCAUAGUAUUUGUACAUCAAUUGCCUAAGUGCUGAGCAGAUUUUUCCACAAAGGUAACAGCAGAAAUUGCUAGACAAACUGUUCAAAAAAGUACUUUUUUAAUCUCCAUAAACAAUACAGGAUUUCUGAGCAUUUGAAUUAUCUGAUGACCACCUCUCAGACUACAUCCACUCAAUGGAUGUGGUGCCACUUGUACUACUCUCUGUAUUGCCAGCACUAUCCACACAACAUACCACUUCCACAUACACACACUUGCUGAUUUAUAAUACAAAAAGCCUAAUUAUGCAUUUUAGGUCCAUACCUACAGAGAGGAUCUAUAAUAAUCUGUAAUCAUUUUCCAUACCAGGAUUAUGGUGCAAUUAUCCUACAUCAACAUUCCUCCAGAAGUGUGAAGACUGGGGAAAUAACCCUUCCUCUGGAUGGAAACAAGCACAGCCUGCUGCAAAGGGCUGGAAAGCUGCCCCCAGGUUGCUGCUGUGCCUUUGCACAGGCUGCAGGAGCUACUCUGGCCACUCUUCACGAGUCCAAGCAGCUGCUCCGUGCUCAUUAACAGGAGCUCCUGCUACGCAAGCUGUGAAGGCAAGAAGCUGAAACUGCAGAGCUGAAGCUGCAAGAUGUUAUCUGGCUGUACAAAGGGGAAGCAGAACAUCUCCUUAUUAAGGAGAAUUGCCUACCCACGACCACCAAGAAGCAGAGGAAGACCCUGCUCACGACCACGGGGAGGCAGAAGAAGACCCCCUAGCAACAGGAGGCGCAGGUGCUGAUGUGAUCCAGGAAGACACAGAUGCAGGGACUGUACAGAAAAGGGAACCUCCUCAGCCAAGGUGCAUGCCGUGUGCGGGACACUUAAGAGAGGAAGUGUCCUCAGGCUCACCCCCAGCUGGGUUUUUGCUUGCUUUACUGCUUGCUGAAUUAAUAAAAAUUGGAUUUUAUAAAUUAUUUAAAAUUGU
rnacentral:lncRNA from 1 species